GAGCAAUUAGGGGUGACAGAUUCUGGUAUUCCUGGGCAAGGGACCUUGCCAUUUUGAGCCUCAGUUUCCCCUGGUGACAUGAGGACAAUGAGGUGUCCUCCUCCUGGGGCCAGCAGGACAGGUCUGUGCUUCCUGCUCGGUGCUCCCCCAGCAGCUGGCCCAGGCAGCACGUGCCACCUAGAGCCCCGAGCCCUGGCCACCCAGAGCCCCGAGUCCUGGUGACCUAGAGCCCUGAGUCCUGGUGACCUAGAGCCCUGAGUCCUGGCCACCCAGAGCCCUGAGUCCUGGCGGGUGUUGUGGGUCCUUUGGGAUUUGGGAACGUGAGGCCCUAGGUAAAGGGGAGGAGAGCCCUCGCUUCACCAGCACAGGGAAUAGAGGCCAGGGGAGUCUAGAGACCUGCCCAGGACCUCAGCGUUCCCUGAACUGAACCAGGAGUCUCCUACAGCCAGGCUGCUCCCUGGGCACAGGUCCCGCUGGCUUGCCUGGACGUGAGGAGUGUCCCCGGGGCAGGCAGCACCUGCCCGCUGCCUCCUCCCAUAGUCACAGGUCCAGGGACGGCAGGACUCCCAAGUCACCGGUGGCAUUUGAG
rnacentral:lncRNA from 1 species